UGAGGAAUAUUGCUCAAUGGGCGAAAGCCUGAAGCAGCAACGCCGCGUGCGCGAUGAAGGUCUUCGGAUCGUAAAGCGCUUUUGAGAGGGACGAGAUAGGACGGUACCUCUUGAAUAAGUCACGGCUAACUACGUGCCAGCAGCCGCGGUAAAACGUAGGUGGCAAGCGUUAUCCGGAUUCACUGGGCGUAAAGCGCGUGCAGGUGGCUUCGUAAGUUGGACGUUAAAUCUUUCGGCCUAACCGGGAGGUGUCGUUCAAUACUGCGGGGCUUGAUGGGAGAAGAGGGUGGUAGAAUUGCCGGUGUAGUGGUGAAAUGCGUAGAUAUCGGCAGGAACACCUGUGGCGAAAGCGGCCCCCUGGUCUGCUCCUGACACUCAGACGCGAAAGC
rnacentral:rRNA from 1 species